AACAUCGCGCACCUGCGGGAACCUGCGGAGGGAUCAUUACAGAGUUGCAAAACUCCCUAAACCAUUGUGAACGUUACCUAAACCGUUGCCUCGGCGGGCGGCCCGGGUCCUUCCCGGCGCCCCUCGGCCCUCGCGGGCGCCCGCCGGAGGUAAACCAAACUAUUGCAUUGUAUGGCCUCUCUGAGUCUUCUGUACUGAAUAAGUCAAAACUUUUAACAACGGAUCUCAGAUCGGAAGAGC
rnacentral:misc_RNA from 1 species